UGGGGAAUAUUGCGCAAUGGACGAAAGUCUGACGCAGCGACGCCGCGUGUGGGAGGAAGCUCUUCGGGGUGUAAACCACUGUCAGGAGGGAAGAACGGCGCCGGUUCGAACAGUUCCGGCGAUUGACGGUACCUCCAAAGGAAGCGCCGGCUAACUCCGUGCCAGCAGCCGCGGUAAGACGGAGGGCGCAAGCGUUGUUCGGAUUCACUGGGCAUAAAGCGCACGUAGGCGGCCCGUUUAGUCAGACGUGAAAUCCCCCGGCUCAACCGGGGAAUGGCAUCUGAUACUGGCGGGCUCGAGGUCGAUAGGGGUGAGCGGAACUCCAGGUGGAGCGGUGAAAUGCGUAGAUAUCUGGAGGAACACCGGUGGCGAAAGCGGCUCACUAGGCCGACACUGACGCUAAGGUGCGAAAGCUAGGGUAGCAAACGGGAUUAGAUACCCCGGUAGUCCCUGAGCGGGC
rnacentral:rRNA from 1 species